rnacentral:rRNA from 1 species
CCAACGAGAACCGUUUUCCCGUCUCCCUGUGUGUAGAAUGAAUUGGAACCAGUUUGAGGGAGUGAUGGGACCGAAAGGUCGGCCUUCCUGGAACACUUAUGCAGAUAGAAAUAUUUGCAUAGACAAUUGAAUCUAUAUCACAGGCUAUUUCUUAUCGCUUUGAUCUCCAUCAUGAUCGUGGCGGUAGGGAAGCCUUCACUUAAUUUACCUUUUUUGCUAGUUGACUUUUUAUAUGUGUUGUUUUGCGAAAGCAAGGUGGCACACGUUUAUUAAUUGAACGUUAAAAAAUACAACUCUUAGCAAUGGAUAUCUUGGUUCUCGCAACGAUGAAGAACGCAGCGAAAUGCGAUACGUAAUGCGAAUUGCAGAAUUCAGUGAAUCAUCAAAUCUUUGAACGCAAAUUGCGCUCUUGGGUAGCCCUAGGAGCACGCCUCUCUCAGUAUCGGUUCAACAAUCUCUCAGCAGCGUGUAGAAAUACGCGUGUUGGCAGGAUAAUGAGAGUCUGAGUUUAUCUCAGUCUCUUUAAAUUCAUUGAAUAAAUAUGACUAUCGAUCAACUCUGCUUCGGCAGAUAGUCUCUCUCAGACUGUUGUUCAUUAGUGACGUGAAUACUGGCCUUUAUUGGUCUUCUUUACGUGUAUCUUUUGAGCAAUAUUAAAGUCUAGGAAAGGUGAACGUUCGUGUAGGGUGUAUUUAUGGAAGAAAACCAUAUGAUAGUAGUUAAUUCAUUUUGAUUAUUAUCUGAAUUUUGAUCUGAGAUGAAGCGAGACAACCCCCUGAAUUUAAGCAUAUUAAUAA